CUUAUGUUAUGUGAAAUAAGCCAGGCACAGAAAGACAAAUAUUGCAUGUUCUCAUUCACAUGUGGGAGCUAAAAACUAAAUCUCAUGGAGAUAGAACGUAGAAUGAUAGA